CAGUCUAGGGUCUGGGCUGAACCCAGUGGGUCAGUCUACGGUCUGGGCUGAACCCAGUGGGUCAGUCUAGGGUCUGGGCUGAACCCAGUGGGUCAGUCUACGGUCUGGGCUGAACCCAUGGGUCGGUCUACGGUCUGGGCUGAACCCAGUGGGUCAGUAUACGGUCUGGGCUGAACCCAGUGGGUCAACACAGUCUACGAUCUGGGCUGAACCCAGUGGGUCAGUCUACGGUCUGGGCUGAACCCAGUGGGUCAGUCUACGGUCUGGGCUGAACCCAGUGGGUCAACACAGUCUACGGUCUGGGCUGAACCCAGUGGGUCAACACAGUCUACGAUCUGGGCUGAACCCAGUGGCACAGUUUACGGUCUGGGCUGAACCCAGUGGGUCAGUCUACGGUCUGGGCUGAACCCAGUGGGUCAACACAGUCUACGGUCUGGGCUGAACCCAGUGGGUCAGUCUACGGUCUGGGCUGAACCCAGUGGGUCAGUCUACGGUCUGGGCUGAACCCAGUGGGUCAGUCUACGGUCUGGGCUGAACCCAGUGGGUCAGUUUACGGUCUGGGCUGAACCCAGUGGGUCAACACAUCUCUCUUGCAGCGAGUUCUUCCAUCUCUAGGAUGUCAGGUGUACUCCUCUGUGUAUCAACGGUGUUUUAGUCACUGGACUCUAAUAGUUUGGUCUUUGAUGCGUUCGCCCUACCUUAUUUAAUCCCUCCAAAGUGGCUGACAGUUUGACUGUCAUGAAUACUACUUCCCAAUAAUGUAUUUUGAGCAAUAAUCAAGACAAUGUAAUAUUUAAAUUAUUUCCUUGACAAUAUUGACAUGCUGACCACAUAAAUUAAACUUUUAUUUGCACUUACUUUGACAAUGGAGGACUGUAACCUUUUCAUCAGAUAACUUUUUCUAGCCAGACUUGCGUCUACUAAUAUAAUUCCUUUUUUUCAACGGUUUGACAACAUUUCUGAUGUUGUAUCAAAAGUGAUUAGAGUAAUAACUACCUUACUAACUAGAUUGCUAAAGUGAUAAGCGAAAAUAUCUUUCAUGUAAAGUGACUGCACCUCUCUCUUCAUUUUUAGGGGCAGUUCCAAGUUCUUCCGAUGCCAGUUCUCGUUAAUUUGGGGACUUCAGCAUCUUAAACAGUGACAUGCCUUUUUAACGCCAGUGGCUUUUAAAAUGCUCCCUUGAAAGCAAAUUUAUCACGAUAGUGUUCUGCAGUGGCUAUAAGACAGGUCCAAUUGAAAUUCAAGAUUUAUAUUUCUUCUGGGUGUAAAAGCUUUUGGACUUUUUAAAUAUCAAAUCGAAAGGUUUAUACAUUUGUGGAAUUCUCAUUGCACUGUGAAUGAAAACCCACUAACCCUACCCACUAACUCUUAGAGAGGUUCAUGUUAUUACUAUAACAAUAACCUAACUUAACCUUAACUUAAAACAUUGAUCAUUGGGUACCCUUAUCCUUCUAUAAAUGGAUGUCAACUGUGGUCAUUGAGGUGUACUUGUGUACAUCAGCAUUGUAUCAACUUUAGGUGGUACAUGUUGGAAUAAAUAAUACCUAUCGUAUGUAGCUCAGCAGCGUUCCCUGGUGCCUGCGGACUGCGGCGGUGGGCGGAGAUGGCACCGAGCCACGGAGCCGUCUCUCCUUUAAUGGCAUCGCUCCCCGGUCGGGACACAGCCUAAGUUAUUCCUUCUUCACGAGGAAUGUUUUAUCCGGAGCGCUCCUAUAAACUGCCGUCUUGUUAGGUUCUGUUGAGUUGCGCAUUACAAUACGGUGGUCCUGUUGAGGCAUCUGAGAACAGCAGUACUGGGGCGGAAAUGUAUUCCUCCAUCCAGAUAAUUGACCCUUAACAGAAGAGCUGGGAUUUUUAUUUUUUAUUUUUAAUAAUGUGCUCGGCUUGAGAAACGAAGGGGUCUAGGGUUUUGAUUGCCUUAUCCACCUAAAACAACAUGUUCUCCUUACUCUAUUGGAUUCUGGGGAGCGUUAAAUAAUGAUCCAGCAGCUGAGACUGCUGCAUGCAGAACGUCUCCCUGACGGCCCUGCUGGGAUCUGAUGUUACAGAGAGCUCACCAGCUCUCCUGCAUUUGUACAGAUGAUUCGUUUAAAAAAACGAGAAAUCUUUAUCUUCAGGGGCUUGCAUUGUUUUUCAGAGUUUAUUUAUAUAAACCUUUUUGGUUUGCAUUUUCUUUUCUAUUUUUUGUUCCUGUGGUUUGUAACUGUCAGCACUGUAGUGUACAUAAUAUUUUUUGUAAACAGGAAAAACUUAGUAAUGUGAUUUAUAC
ensembl:lncRNA